UACAGAGGGGGCAAGCGUUAUUCGGAAUUAUUGGGCGUAAAGGGCGCGUAGGCGGCUUCGCAAGUGGAAGGUGAAAUCCCUCGGUUUAACCGAGGAACUGCCGUUGAUACUAUCUGUCUUGAAUACCGUGGAGAUGAGCGGAAUAUGUCAUGUAGCGGUGAAAUGCUUAGAUAUGACAUAGAACACCGAUUGCGAAGGCAGCUCGUUACACGCAUAUUGACUCUGAGGCUCGAAAGCGUGGGGAUCAAACAGG
rnacentral:rRNA from 1 species